UGGGGAAUUUUGCGCAAUGGGCGAGAGCCUGACGCAGCGACGCCGCGUGUACGAUGAAGGCCUUUGGGUCGUAAAGUACUGUCAACGGGGACGAACGCCUCAGGUUGAAUAGGUCUGAGGUCUGACGGUACCCGUGGAGGAAUCAGCAUCGGCUAACUCCGUGCCAGCAGCCGCGGUAAUACGGAGGAUGCAAGCGUUAUCCGGAAUGAUUGGGCGUAAAGCGUCCGCAGGUGGUAAUGCAAGUCUACUGUUAAAGAGUGAAGCUUAACUUCAUAAAGGCGGUGGAAACUGCAUAACUAGAGUACGUUCGGGGCAGAGGGAAUUCCUGGUGUAGCGGUGAAAUGCGUAGAUAUCAGGAAGAACACCGGUGGCGAAAGCGCUCUGCUAGGCCGUAACUGACACUGAGGGACGAAAGCUAAGGGAGCGAAUGGGAUUAGAUACCCCUGUAGUCC
rnacentral:rRNA from 1 species